GAUGAACGCUGGCGGCGUGCUUAACACAUGCCAGUCGAACGAAGCAUUUGCGACAGAUUUUUUCGGAAUGAAGUUGCUUAUGACUGAGUGGCGGACGGGUGAGUAACGCGUGGGUAACCUGCCUUGUACUGGGGGAUAGCAGCUGGAAACGGCUGGUAAUACCGCAUAAGCGCACAAUGUUGCAUGACAUGGUGUGAAAAACUCCGGUGGUAUAAGAUGGACCCGCGUCUGAUUAGCUAGUUGGUGAGAUAACAGCCCACCAAGGCGACGAUCAGUAGCCGACCUGAGAGGGUGACCGGCCACAUUGGGACUGAGACACGGCCCAGACUCCUACGGGAGGCAGCAGUGGGGAAUAUUGCACAAUGGAGGAAACUCUGAUGCAGCGACGCCGCGUGAGUGAAGAAGUAAUUCGUUAUGUAAAGCUCUAUCAGCAGGGAAGAUAGUGACGGUACCUGACGAAGAAGCUCCGGCUAAAUACGUG
rnacentral:rRNA from 1 species